GACGUAGGGCGCGAGCGUUGUCCGGAUUUAUUGGGCGUAAAGAGCUCGUAGGCGGCUUGUCGCGUCGACCGUGAAAACUUGGGGCUCAACCCCAAGCCUGCGGUCGAUACGGGCAGGCUCGAGUUCGGUAGGGGAGACUGGAAUUCCUGGUGUAGCGGUGAAAUGCGCAGAUAUCAGGAGGAACACCGAUGGCGAAGGCAGGUCUCUGGGCCGAUACUGACGCUGAGACGCGAAAGCGUGGGGAGCGAACAGG
rnacentral:rRNA from 1 species